rnacentral:rRNA from 2 species
GCUAACUACGUGCCAGCAGCCGCGGUAAUACGUAGGUGGCAAGCGUUGUCCGGAUUUAUUGGGCGUAAAGCGAGCGCAGGCGGUUUUUUAAGUCUGAUGUGAAAGCUUUCGGCUCAACCGAAGAAGUGCAUCGGAAACUGGGAAACUUGAGUGCAGAAGAGGACAGUGGAACUCCAUGUGUAGCGGUGAAAUGCGUAGAUAUAUGGAAGAACACCAGUGGCGAAGGCGGCUGUCUGGUCUGUAACUGACGCUGAGGCUCGAAAGUAUGGGUAGCAAACAGGAUUAGAUACCCUGGUAGUCCAUACCGUAAACGAUGAAUGCUAAGUGUUGGAGGGUUUCCGCCCUUCAGUGCUGCAGCUAACGCAUUAAGCAUUCCGCCUGGGGAGUACGGCCGCAAGGCUGAAACUCAAAGGAAUUGACGGGGGCCCGCACAAGCGGUGGAGCAUGUGGUUUAAUUCGAAGCUACGCGAAGAACCUUACCAGGUCUUGACAUACUAUGCAAAUCUAAGAGAUUAGACGUUCCCUUCGGGGACAUGGAUACAGGUGGUGCAUGGUUGUCGUCAGCUCGUGUCGUGAGAUGUUGGGUUAAGUCCCGCAACGAGCGCAACCCUUAUUAUCAGUUGCCAGCAUUAAGUUGGGCACUCUGGUGAGACUGCCGGUGACAAACCGGAGGAAGGUGGGGAUGACGUCAAAUCAUCAUGCCCCUUAUGACCUGGGCUACACACGUGCUACAAUGGAUGGUACAACGAGUUGCGAACUCGCGAGAGUAAGCUAAUCUCUUAAAGCCAUUCUCAGUUCGGAUUGUAGGCUGCAACUCGCCUACAUGAAGUCGGAAUCGCUAGUAAUCGCGGAUCAGCAUGCCGCGGUGAAUACGUUCCCGGGCCUUGUACACACCGCCCGUCACACCAUGAGAGUUUGUAACACCCAAAGUCGGUGGGGUAACCUUUU